rnacentral:rRNA from 1 species
AUUGAACGCUGGCGGCAUGCCUUACACAUGCAAGUCGAACGGUAACGCGGGGCAACCUGGCGACGAGUGGCGAACGGGUGAGUAACGCAUCGGAACGUGCCCAGUAGUGGGGGAUAGCCCGGCGAAAGCCGGAUUAAUACCGCAUACGACCUACGGGUGAAAGAGGGGGAUCGCAAGACCUCUCGCUAUUGGAGCGGCCGAUGUCAGAUUAGGUAGUUGGUGGGGUAAAAGCCUACCAAGCCUACGAUCUGUAGCUGGUCUGAGAGGACGACCAGCCACACGGGGACUGAGACACGGCCCAGACUCCUACGGGAGGCAGCAGUGGGGAAUUUUGGACAAUGGGCGCAAGCCUGAUCCAGCCAUGCCGCGUGCGGGAAGAAGGCCUUCGGGUUGUAGACCGCUUUUGUCAGGGAAGAAACGCUCUGGACUAAUACUCUGGGGUAAUGACGGUACCUGAAGAAUAAGCACCGGCUAACUACGUGCCAGCCGCCGCGGUAA